rnacentral:rRNA from 1 species
AUUGAACGCUGGCGGAAUGCUUUACACAUGCAAGUCGAACGGCAGCACGGGUGCUUGCACCUGGUGGCGAGUGGCGAACGGGUGAGUAAUGCACCGGAACGUAUCCAAUAAUGGGGGAUAACGGCACCGAAAGGUGUGCUAAUACCGCAUACGCCCUGAGGGGGAAAGCGGGGGAUCGUAAGACCUCGCGUUAAUGGAGCGGCCGAUGCCGGAUUAGCUAGUUGGUGAGGUAAAGGCUCACCAAGGCGACGAUCCGUAGCUGGUCUGAGAGGACGACCAGCCACACUGGAACUGAGACACGGUCCAGACUCCUACGGGAGGCAGCAGUGGGGAAUUUUGGACAAUGGGCGCAAGCCUGAUCCAGCCAUUCCGCGUGAGUGAAGAAGGCCUCGG